rnacentral:rRNA from 1 species
AUGGCGCAGUCGCUGGUGAUGACCGCGAUAUCCCGCCUCCGCGGUGCCGCCACCCACUCCUGCGGCGGGCACUGGCGCCGCCUCUUCUCCCGCUCCCCCGCCGCCUGCGCUCCUCUCCUCGGCCACUUUCACCACCCCACUCCGACGCCGCCCAGUCCCAAAACCCCAGCUCCGUUCCCCACCGUGCCCCCUUCCGCCUCCGCCUCCGCCUCGGCCCCCGCGUUCCAACCCCUCACCUCCUCCUCCCCGCGCCUCUCCCUGGACUUCAUCCCUCCCGGCUUCUCCCUAUUCGACUCCCACCUCGGCCUCCUCGUCCUCCUCAAGGAGACAGAGCCAUACUCCUACCUCAAGCACCCCCAGAUCCUCGUCUGCGACCCGGUCUCCCGCCGCACCGCGCUUCUCCCUCCGGGGAUGGUCACCUGCACGUUUAGCAAGCUCGUAAGCGUCGUGAUCCUCUCCCGCGACGCGGACGACCCGGCCGGGUCCGGGCUCUGCUUCCGGGCAGCCGUCGUCACCCUCGAGGACACCACGCUGCGUGCCUUCGUGGCGAUGUUCCGCGACGGCCUGUGCCAUUGGGAGUGUCUGCUUCGGUCACAGGCGAGAUGCAACGUCGACCAGCUGGAGCGCCACUGCGUGCGCGCUAGCCGGUUCCUCAUCUGGCACAUCCGCGACGAAGGUGCCGUGCUCACAUUUGACCCUGAGACACUGGAGUUCGGCUUUGUGCUCGCGCCGGCCGCACUCGACAUGGGGGAUCACUUUCUCAAGUACCGCGUCGGGGAGCUAGUCAUGGCUGUCGCCUUGCCCGGGCUCGAGCUCAGCCAUGGUCGCGCCUGGCCGCGCUUGCUGCUCCUGCUACUCCUUGCGGCCUGCGCCGGCUGCUCCCUGCUACUCCUUGUCACCUGCGCCCGGGCUCGAGCUCAACCAUGGUCGCGCACGGACGCGCUUGCUCCUCCUGCUACUCCUUGCCGGCCGCUCCCUGCUGCUCCUUGUCUCUCGCGCCUGCUGCUAUUCCUUGACGACCGCCGUUGCUGCUGCUCCUUGCCUUGCCGGACGGCGCUGAGGGGUGCACCGCCGUCGUGCUCCGGGGUGCAUCGCCGCGCUCUGGCCAGAGGAGCGCUGCCGCGUGCAAUGGAGGGGCGCACCGCCGCCCUGCUGGAGGUCGUGCUCAGGACAGAGGGGGAGAAGGAUGAGGAGGGUUGGCCGGGGGUUGGAUGGGCCAGCCGCCGAGCUGCGCGUGCUCUCGCUCGCCGGCGAGCUCCCAGCCGUGGAGCACGAAAACAAGGUGUUUGUUGAAAUGUCUAAGAAAGAUAUGGGAGGAGCAAGAAGAUAGACACUGACGUGUGGGACCAACUAGUCAGAAACGCGUUUAAAAGAGCCGAAUCGGGCUCUUUUCAGACUUGGUAGUUUUUAGUCAAGGAUUAAUAAAAAAAUGGUAGUUUUCGGCACAAAUUUGUAAAGUGGUAGUUUGUAGGCACGGUUCCAUGAAUUGUGAUAGUUUUUUAUUAAAUACUCCCGGACGGGCGGUUCUGCUUCGGUUCGAUGUCAAUGGAUCACGAGAACCUGGAGCUCCGGGUGCUGGGGCCCGGGCCGAAGGACGGCCAGAACGUGUGGGUACUGGAGAGGGAAGUGUGCUUGCUCCAGGCGUUCGACGAAAUGCCGCAGCUGCCCUCGAGCUUCAUCGCCCGGCGCAAGUGCACCUGGCUGAGCGACAUGGACGCCGGGCGCACCGGGAGGGUGUUCAUCGGCACGUCGGGCUAUGGGCACUACUCGUACCAUCUGGACACCCGGAAGCUCGAGCGCCUAGUGACGGACGACGGCGAGGAGUACGGGCACCCCAUGUUUGCCUACUUCUCCUUCCCGGGCUUGGAUGACGGCUCUGACUGA